GCUCCCAUGGCGUAGUGGUCACUGCGCACGCCUUGCACGUGGGAGACCCGGGUUCGAUUUCCGGCGGGGUCA
rnacentral:tRNA from 1 species